rnacentral:rRNA from 1 species
CCCCUCAAGCCCCUGGCUUGGUGUUGGACGGUUUGGUGGAGGCCCCCUCGGGGGCUCCUGCCCCUCCCAAAGACAAUGACGGCGGCCUCGUUGGACCCCCGGUACACUGAGUUCUUCACGGGACACGUAUCGGACACAUGGGUUUACGGGACACGGUCUGCCUCCCCUCAGGGAGAAUCUUUCUAAGGUUGACCUCGGAUCAGGUAGGGAUACCCGCUGAACUUAAGCAUAUCAAUAAGCGGAGGAAAAGAAACCAACAGGGAUUGCCUCAGUAACGGCGAGUGAAGCGGCAACAGCUCAAAUUUGAAAUCUGGCCUCUUUGGGGUCCGAGUUGUAAUUUGUAGAGGAUGUUUCGGGUACCGCCUCGGUUUAAAUUUCUUGGAACAGAAUGUCAAAGAGGGUGAGAAUCCCGUCUUGGACCGGCGGUAGGGCCCAUGUGAAACUCCUUCGACGAGUCGAGUUGUUUGGGAAUGCAGCUCAAAAUGGGUGGUAAAUUUCAUCUAAAGCUAAAUAUUGGCCAGAGACCGAUAGCGCACAAGUAGAGUGAUCGAAAGAUGAAAAGCACUUUGAAAAGAGAGUUAAACAGUAUGUGAAAUUGUUGAAAGGGAAGCGCUUACAACCAGACUUGCGCGCGGCGGUUCCCCCUUCCUUUUGGUUGGGCUACUCCGUCGUGUCCAGGCCAACAUCGGUUCUGGGGGUCGGUUAAAGACCCUGGGAAUGUACC